GGGUCCAUAGCUCAGGAUGGCAGAGCAGCUGCCUCUUAAGCAGUUGGUCGUGGGUUCAAAUCCCACUGGGCCCA
rnacentral:tRNA from 1 species